GUCAUAGAUAAAUCUAAUACUUUGGAUAUCUAUAUUAUUAAUUUAAUAAAUAAAAUAUUACUUUAACAUUAAGUAUUUUCUUUAAUUUUUAUUUUACAAAUACUAAUUAAUAUUAUGUAUAUUUCAUUAAGAUAUGUUAUUGUGAUUAAAAUUAAAUCUAAAUACUAUACUAUUACACACACACCCACACACAUAUAUAUAUAUAUAUAUAUAAGAAUCACACGUUAAUUGUAAAGUUUUAUGAGUACAA
rnacentral:lncRNA from 1 species